AGCUGCUGUACCAUGGAUUUUGCCCCAACCCCUGCCAGAUGGGAGCUGUCAGGGAUGUGGGAUGUGGCGGAGGACAGUCCUGACAGAAGUACUCUGAGUGCCACCACUGAUGCACACUGGCAAGCUGUUACAGAACAUCUGUGUCAGCCUUGUGACACCAACCAGUAUGUAGUACAAGAUUCGAGGGUCACUGCGUUUGUCCUCACUAAAUCUUCUAAACAAGAUGGUGACGUGUUCAGAUAUGUUUACUCCUUCAUCCCUUCAUAGGAUGCCAGCCAGGAAAGGAAAGGUCAAAUUUGGCAGUUUUCUGUACCACAAGGAGAUCAUUAAUGCAAGGUGGAAGCAAACCAUAACACUCAAUAAACACUUUUAUUUUUCUCUUUGGAGAUAUUAACUUGUAAAAAACACUUAUUUUUGAAAUACAUCAUGCUACACAAAGCAAAGAACAAUGCUUUUAGGGCCAGGCUUGCAUGUCUGACUAUGGAUUACAUUGAGGAAAAGCCUUUUGCCAGUGCCUGCUGUUGGCAGACAAUGUAGACCUCAGAACCUCAACAGAGGAUGUGCCAGGCAGUGAGAGGUGACAUAUGGUCCCUCUGUGUUUCACAUGAGUGAGUUCUAUGCAAACUUUUGUAAAGACGCCUGUGAAAAGCAAAAGAAACCAAACACUACAAUAUUUUUUGUAAUCCCUUGCAAUAAAAGGUGAAGAGAUGACAAGGCAGACAUUUUCUCUGCCCCUCUUCU